AAAAAUAAGUGUUUGUUGUUGUUGUUUUUUUUUUUGGUUGGUUGGUUGGUUUUGUACAGACUGAUGAGUUUUCUCCAUGUUUCUCUUGGUGCAAGUGCUGCUCUUGCUAAGCCAGGCAGUACCUGUCAUUUUUAAGGAAUCAAAGAGUGUUUCAGAGGAAACUUGUUCAUACAGUGCAAAACCACGUACAUUUGCAUUACAGCAGCUUGAAUUCUGCUGUUCUUUUUUUAGUGGAAAAUAUAUCAAAACAGCUUUGCAGUUCAGCUUUCAUAAAUGUCUAAAAUAAGGGUUUGCUUGUAUUUAAUGGCCAGAAUGGAUUGAGCUGGGUUUCAGAUCUAGAAUUAGUAUGCUUGAGAGCAAAUUAAUCAAAUUUCAAAGGUGGGGUCUGAUGUAUUUCUGUGCCACUCCAAAGGUAUGUGUGACUUUCUGUUCUCCCAGGCAGCUAUAAAACAUAGACUUAUAUAUAGAUUCUACAAAACAUGGACUUCAUCAUCUAGAGCAAAAAGAUUCUGGAAAAGACAUUGCCCAAUGAAGAGCUAGGAGGCUACCACAGCUUCUUGUUACCACAAAACACUGAGAUGUUCUAACUCUAGAUAAUUAGCACACUCACGGAAAGGAGGACUACCCAAAGAGCCAGUGAUGCCAUCUCCUACCCAGAAGAUAUACCUUGACGUUUCUUCUUUCUAAAGAACGGAUACAUCUUUGCCAUGUGCCGUCUAUGGAUGAAAGUGUGCUCCACUGAAGCAGUCCUUUCUGAGCUACUGACUGGA